rnacentral:lncRNA from 1 species
CCUUGCUGAGUAUAGAGACAGCAAGAUUAAUCCGCACUAAAGUAAACCCAACAGCUACUGCAACAUCCUGUCUUAAAAGUUGAUCGAAAAUUGAUUGGUGUGCCUUGACAAAAUCUAUAAUUCAAUGGAGAGUUUUGUUCUUACUUGUUAAUUCAACAUUUACAGACUCAGAGGUAUACAGAAAAACAAAUCUUGAACAUUAAACAGGAAAAUCCGCUCUAAAGUCAACCCAACAGCUACUGCAACAUCCUGUCUUAAAAUUUGAUCAAAAAUUGAUUGGUUUGCCUUGACAAAAUCUAUAAUUUGAUGGAGGGUUUUGUUCUUACUUGUUAAUUCAACAUUUCAGACACAGAGGUAUACAGAAAAACAAAUCUUGAACAUUAAAGAGGAAAAAAAGGAAGAAAAGAGGAGAAAUAUCUAACAAGAACAAAAGAUAGCAAACUUCAAUGGCUCUUACAUUAAAUUUAACAAGGUAAUAAUUGCAUUUACUGACAAAUAUGUCAUCCUUUUCUGCCCAGUGGACUACAUACUAAGAUAACUAUAAGCAUUUGCAAAGCAACCCGUUUCUCACCAUUUUGCAACACUUCAGGUCUUAUCCAAAUAGUUAGCAAAUAGCAAUCAAAUGUUUCUACUGCAUUAUCAUUAUCAUAGGUUGCUAGUCUCUACCGUAAAUCAUAGGGAGAGAAGAAGGGAGAGGGAUGGAGGAGGAAGAAGGGCUUGGUGAGCCCAAGCAGACAGGGAGGGGAAGAAAUAGAGGGAAGAGACCGCAGAUUCUGCGAUCUCUCGCUAUCCUUCCCAAACCGGAGCUCGCCAGUGAGGAGAUUUGCCGGAAAGGAAAGAAGAGGGACAGGGCUCUAGCGAUGUCGCGCGGCUCUGCCCUCCAUUGCAGCGAGGAUCGCUGCAAGCUAGGUUGAUUUCCACCCAGCUAGCCCAUGCCCAAAAACAGGGUGUCACAUUCAUAACUUCUGGAAGAGAAUUUCAUCAAGCAUAUGACAUUUUUUUCUUGUUUAGCUGAGAAUCUCGCAGAAAAGUCAAUCAAAAAGUCAGCAACAAUGAGUUUAAGAAUAUAUCCAAAGGCAAACACUUGUUAAGAAUACUUUGACGCUCCAAGAUCUCAACUAAAAGGCAGACUCUGACAGAAUACGUAAAAACAAUACUCAUGUUCAGAAGUGCUGAGGCAAGUAACAACUAACAGGCACUUUUCACUAAGAUCGGCAUUGGCUCUCUGAGGAAAAUGCCCAAAUACCAGGCCAUACACAGACCUAAAGAUCCCCACAAACUUGAUAAACCAAAAACUAUAAGCUAUUUAAUUACAAAUCGACAACAAGAUUGGAGGCUGAGGGCAGUAGAAAGAUCUCUUACCUGGUAGCAAGUCAGCACAUUUAGCAAGUUAAGAAAAGAUACGGUAGAUGGAUAUCUUUCCCUUCUUGCUUCAGCUUCAUUCAGAUCAAACCGCAUGUCAUGAACGUGCCAAAGUUAACAUGUGCUAUUGUCGAUGCAUAAGAAGCAAGUAGAAGCAAUAACAUAUACAAUACUUCAUCUGUCACGUCCCCUAUCACAAUGAGGAUCUUCAAUUGCACAACAAUUCACUUUUCCUAUCUACUUACUAGCUAACAGAGUCAACAAAAGACAACUUUUCACUGCCUUAUUGGGCUACAAAAGAUUAUGUAGGACUAUAUAUAUAUGUGAUAUGUAGACUAAGAACACUCAUAGCUUUCUCCUUCAUUUCCUUCACCUACUACAUAAUGAUGAUUGAACAACAGAAAGCUUAGGUACAAAGAAAUUGAACGCAUAAUUGAACAUCCACAAACUCAUUUUAUGUUCUGAAUCAUUCUGCUGAGUCAUCACACACCAAAAUGAGAAGAUCAUCAUAACAUCCUGAUAUAAUAAAUUAACUAGAACAUAUCAUGACGAAAUAUUGAUUUCUUGAUCUAUCAAACACUAGCAAAAGGCCCAGAAUUCUAAUUCAAGUGAUUCCUUUAGGACCAUAUGUUAACACAGUGAUUGUAAAUUAUGUUCACACAGGCGUCUCUCUGUGUGUGGGUGGGUGUUGGUGUGUCGGGUGGGUUGGGGGGGGGGGGGGGGGGGGUGUGCCAGUUGCUUCUAAAACUUAACAGGGUGUCCCCCUUUUGACCUACUCUUCCUUCUUUAAGAAUAGAAAUGGAGUACAGAAGUUCUUGGAGAUAACUUAGCAUGUCAUGUACAGGGUUCAUAUAUUCUUAGAAAACUUAGUGUCUUCCUUGCCUUUCAAUGGGAUUGUUUGACCAUCAUGAAUUAUCCUGAGACAAAAUCUUUGAUUCCGAAUUGCCCCUGGCUUUAAUCUUAAGGCAAUAAACUGUGCUAGCAUGACUAAUAAUCUAAAUCAAUUUCUCAAAAAGCUGCUAAUGUGAGUUCAGUGCAAAUUCGCACCCAUUGCUGGCCGACCAAUUCCAAGAUGAUAUUUGAUGGGAGAACAAGCCGUAUAGCUUGGGUGGCACCUCAACCACCCAACCAGCCUGAACCAGCCCAAAAUGAGCUAGUAUCGGAAAGGGUUUUAAUUGAUGCAUUAGGUUUAGGAUAGCCAAACCUGAUCAUAUAUGGAAUGGGUUUGUGUCUGGCUCCACAACCCAAUGGGUCACCAUAGGUUGGAUAAGCCAUUAAAACCUGGUCCUAUGUCCCAGUAGUGGAAAACUUUUGGUACGCAAUAGACUAGUCAAGGCUUUGUUUGAAUGAUAAUGUGUUUUCUUCUAUGUUCUAAUUUCCUCUCCACUUUCUAACUUUAUUUGGAUGCCCAACCCAGGUCCCUUCGUCCUAGCCCUCAUGUGUAUUCAUUCUUAAGAUAUAUGACUCACAAGUUAAGAUAAGAUCUAUAACUGGGUUGGCAGGUAGGAUGUGUCCAUCUAUAAAUAAAUGGGUUUGGUUUGGUCUGCUUUUCUAAACCCAAUUGUUAAUAGGUUGGGUAUGGGUCGUGGGUUUUUUGACACAUCCCCUAAAGCUGCCCAAACCCAACCCAACCCGUUGCCACCCCUACAUGCGACAGUGUACAUUGAGCUCAGCUUGUUUUCUAUUUCCUGCUUGAAAUUAAUGCCAUUCAAGCAUGUUAUCAGUGCAUUUGGUUGAUUAAACCAGCCUAAGUGCAAAAGGAUGCAUUCCUAAAUAUCUUGGACUGGUAGUUUUGAACCUCUUGAUGCUGCUACUCACCUUGCUGUGCUGAUGCAUCCCCAAAUAGUUCGACAAGCCUACCAAGUGUCCCCAAAUGGCAUAAGCAUGAUGCACAGUUGCAUGAGACCUUGGCUGCAAAUGCAAGUUUUGAGCAUUUAAUAACUGGAGACUUUUACGUGCUGCCCUAUUUCAUGCAGACAAGAAUGUCAGCGUCCUAGCUUAAUGCAUGGCAUAUAAAUGAUACCAUAAUUUGUAUACCUUGCAAGCUUGCACAGCCUGUCUUGGUGAUGUCAGUAUUGCUAUUUUACCACCCCUUGUACAUGAGAUUACACUUUCCACUGAUAGGACAACAUAUAUUUCAUACUAAUACAAUUGAAAAUAGAAACAUGUAGUUGCAAACUUGUUGCCUGCCUUUGAAUGGAGAAUUUGGGUGCUAAUCAGGUUUAAGGCCUAGCUCUAGCCAGUAUUAUUGUAGUACCAAGGAGAAGCCAAGCCAAAUCAAAGACCGGAAGGCCCGUAACUAUGGGUCUGAUACACAACCCAAGCAAAGGUGUCUUGCUGAACCAACUUGAGCUCAAAAUCCGACCUAUCUAAUACAAACUUUUCUUGGUGACAUGUCAUGGUCCGACUUUAUAUAAGUUGGUUCGAAAUUGGGCUCCACACUUUCAAGCAGGAACUCUGAAAGGCAAGCCUUUGGGCCAACAGGCUGAUAAGGCCUAUUUAUGCCCUUUGUAAGCUUAAUUCACAAAGCAAAAAUAGAAAAUCUCCUGACUUUCUUUUCCCAAGGAAAAAGAAAUCCUAAACAGCUUUAGUUGCUAUGUUACUUGGACCUGGGAAUUGCUGUGACACUUCAGUAUGGAUCUACAAAAGGAAAUUAUUAAUGAUUUAAAAAUAUCCAAACUCCCAAACAAAUUUGAUGUAAGAUAUUUUUUGACUUCCUAUUUUUAAUUUCAAUAAGAUUGGGAUGCAUCACAUGAUUACACUAAGAAGUACAAUAUAUUCCAUUGCAUGUAGAAUGCAAAGUUAUGGGCAGAUAUGGACUGACUGAACAACGUUUUUUUUUCCCCACAUCAAACACGUACAUGCCUACAUUAAUACAAUGAUUCUGCUUAGUUCCAUGACUUAAGAAAAAAAAAGUUAAGUUUUUAAAAAAUCUAUGAGAAAUAAGAAUUUAAUCCUGAAAUUUCAGCCAUGUGUAUGUUAUCCCUGGUUAUUAUAUUGUCAUUAAAAAAAUAGGAGACCAAAUGAAUAAUUAUGUACAGACCUUGUCUCUAGAAAGCGUUGUGAAAGAAAGGACAUCAUUAAUUUAUGAAUGUAUCCAUUGUACAUAUAGACCAUGUCCUCAUCAUCAUUCUGGACCAAAUGAACUAAAAGAAGGCUCAGCACUCCAAACAGUAACCAUCAACGGAGGCUAGGAUACUGAUAAAAUAUUAACGACUAUAACUAUUAAACCCUUGAUACAUCUAGAACAAAAGGUAAGCUACUAUAGAUCCACUUUACCUUCAUGAGAACCACCAACAAGUGACUAAGAGGUUGACACCAAAACAGAUUUGAAAGAUUGGUAAUAACAAAAAUGAAAAAGUAACUGAUAUACGGAAUAACUUUAUGCACACAAUGUAGUUGAAGAACUCAAAAGCAAAAAAUAAAUUUCCUUGCAAGCGGCAAGUUCUAGAUCAACAAGAAGAAAAGAUGACAUGGAAAUGAAUAUAUAGAUGCAAAUAUAGAUAUAUGAGCAAGGAUCGCCGAACCAGUAUUGGAGGUCAUACCAGCCAUCAGUUCGGUAUAGUAUGGAUCCAUAGCUUGCCGUUCUAGGGCAUAAUAAAAAUGAGGAGAGAAAGAAGGGACGAGGGCCGCCAUGGAUGCAGCAGGGUGUGGUUGUUGGGGAGAAAAUUCUUCUAUUUCGAACCCUAUCUCUUCGUAGCAGUGAAGAAGAAGCAACAACUGCAGAGGAGGGUGCUGCCGUGGAUGCAGGGGGAGAGAGGGCAAGAGUCAGAGUGAAAGAGAUGGGGAUAAGAAUCCCCUAAGCUCUUUCUGGCGGCGAAGAAGAAGCGGCAACAGCGGAGGAGGGAACCACCAUGGAUGCAAGGGAAGAGAGAGGGAGGAAAGGCUUACCAAUGAAGCAGAAUGACAAUCGGCAACAAAGGAGACCCACGAAGAAUUGAAUGCGAACAAGAGAGCCCUUCGAGAACCCUCAGGGUGAGGGGAGAUUGAUUUAUAGCCAAAAUGACCUACAUGCUGAACCAUUCCCGGUCGGCAUCAAUUUGGUUUGGUACAGGUCGAACUGUCCAGUUCGGGUUAGUCGGCAAUCACUCUAUGUGUAUAAAAAAAGAUAUAUAUGCUGUAAUAACAAAAGCCCACAACAAGGAAAUAAUUUCAAAAAAAAGAAUGUAGAUAUGAAUGAAACUCAUGCAUAAUCAACGAGCACGAGUGGAGAAAAAUGAGGUUAGUGCAAAAUAAUGAAAAACUCAAACAUAUACUAUUAUGCUUGUCAGCCCAAGUCUUUUACCAUUUACCAUUCCACCGAGCAAUGGCCCCUUAAAUUGAUAGAAGUAGGAAACAGCAAAAUAAUUUAAAACAGCAAGGGUACAUGUGAUUUUGCUUUCCCUUCAGAUAACAUGAAAUCAGUCUUUUUACUGCAUAUCUUCUAUGGGAUCUUCUAUGCAAGAUAACAAAAUGCGUGUACAAGUGCUGAAACAAAGUUCUUUGAUUUCCUAAGAAACUUUACCACCACAAUGUUUCCAAAUAUGGGGUUCCAUGAAUUUCCUUCUUGAGACAAGGAAUGAAACAUCUGAUAAAAGAAUAAGAAAAUUUACAUAUAGUAUCUAAUUAAUUUCCAUAAAUAAUGAUAACUAAAAAAAUCAAAAAAAGGAAGGAUUGCCAUACUAUAAUAAUCAUGAAUUACUAAAAUGUGUAAGAGCACUACCAACAACAAAUGAUACACAGAGAAACAACAGUAGCAGCCUCUACUGUCUUAAAGAAGAAGACAAACAAUAUCUAGAACUACAAAAGUGCAUCAAUUUGAAGUUCACUCUCAAUGAAGAAAUAGUAAAAGAAAUGUCCUGUGCUAUCAUGCACAAACAUCACACUUUUAAGUAUAAACAUAUUAAUAUACUAUCUUGUGCCUAAAAUAACUUUUGCAGUUACCACUCAUGAUAGGCAGCAGCUUGGAGAACUCUAGCCAGCAAAACGUAGAAAACAUUGUUUGAGUAAACAAGUUCCAGGCAUGAGUAAAUAUUUGCCAAAUCCUUGAGUGAAGCAUCAGAGAUAGUAUCUCUUGAAUCACUUUGAUCUUGAGUCAACAUCAAAUAUACAGGCCAUCCAAGUCUUACAUCAUUAACAAACCCCUCAACAUUUUGAUUAUUCCUGGUGGUCAUCACCUAAGGUAAGCAAAUGUCAUCAAUCAUCACCAGCAGAAUUAUUCCUAACAAAACACGAGACCACAAGGAAAGAAUGCAAAGAUGUCACUAGCUCAUCUUACUAAUUCAUGAGAAUCAUAUCUGAAGGAGAUAUCAAGCGAUAGAAAUUUGGGACUUGUCAGCAAUGGGCUAGCAUGGAAUGAUAUCAAAAUAUCCAAGGAUAGAAAUACAUGCAAAAUCUAAACCAGCAAAGUAAGACACGAAUAAAUCUGGGACUUGAUGAUUGACAUGAUACACAAUAAAUUUGGACCUGAAGCUGUACAGUGGCAUCACUAUCAAGUUCACCUGCACAAUCUUUUAGGGUCAUAAAUAUAUCCUUUUCAUCUUUCGGACCUGCAAGAAGUGAAAAUGAACAGCACUAUAAUCAAGUCUUUCUCUGAGGUAGUAGUUUCGUUACUUUAUUUAAUGAAAAAAAAUCCUUAUUUGGUGGUAUAUGGGCAACCAGUUAGGUAAAAUAAAUUAAUAAGUUACAAUUUCUCAAUACAUAACAAUAAAAUGUUACCUGCUCUCUCAUGAGGAUAAUAAAUGGAACAGAAACAUCCGAACACCUAUAGCAAGUUUUCAACAUUACUCCAUUUUAGUCUAGUAUUCCGACCACCAAACACUACUCGGAUUACUUUAAAUUGCAGGCUUGAAGAUGGUGAUACUGAACCCUAAAUAUAAAGAUUUCCACAUCAAUGAAAUUAGAGAGCACAAAUGACAAACUUUAUUCUAUCAGUUCAAAUCAAAGCAAGGAACUACAUAAAGCCAAGUCUUCCCAAGAGCAACAUCUCUGCAAGUCUAAUAUCAGUGCUUCUUACAUUAUCAUUUAUCAAUUCUACUUCCAUUCAAGUGAUGCAUGUCAGCUUCACCAUGCCCCACCUCAACAGCCUCAUUGUUUCUUUUACACAACUCAGCAGCUGACCAUGUCACCCUCAAAUCACUACCCAAUUGCAGCAUCUAAAGAUUCAAUUCCACAAGCUCUAUAACAAAAUCCACUCACUGAAAGCCUUGGGCAUGCCAAAAAAACAUUUUAUAAGCACCAAGCCUGAGCAUGGGCAAGGUCAAGCAGAAAGGGCAAAGAAACAAGUAAGAGUCCAAAGAGCUCAGGCACAAGGUUGGGAACACAAAUCCAUCUUCGCUUGAGAAGUCACCUCCCACAAAACAUUGCCAACUUAUAAUAAAAACAGAUUUGUAUGUAAUUAGUGGAAGCAAUUGAGAUGGAAAAACAUAUGAAAAGCAGGAUUUACAACUAGGACGAAUCUACCAAGUAGCAAGCAUCCGCAAAAAGGCUAGCAAUUAUCAUGUAGACUAAAAAAAGGGCAUCCAAUUACAAUGAUACAUGCAAUAUUUAACAAUUUCAAUACAUUGUGUUUCUAGUCAGCUGUUUAUCAUGUAAUGUGACUUAAGAGAAAAUAUAAUCUCCCAUGUUAAACCAUGCAUCCCUAUAGAAACCUUGGAAAGCUGCUUGACCAUUAAAUAAACUUAGAUUUAAACCAAUAUGUCUGUCAUCCAAUGCCACAUGGCUCA